rnacentral:rRNA from 1 species
GACGAACGCUGGCGGCGUGCUUAACACAUGCAAGUCGAACGGAAAGGCCCUGCUUUUGUGGGGUGCUCGAGUGGCGAACGGGUGAGUAACACGUGAGUAACCUGCCCUUGACUUUGGGAUAACUUCAGGAAACUGGGGCUAAUACCGGAUAGGAGCUCCUGCUGCAUGGUGGGGGUUGGAAAGUUUCGGCGGUUGGGGAUGGACUCGCGGCUUAUCAGCUUGUUGGUGGGGUAGUGGCUUACCAAGGCUUUGACGGGUAGCCGGCCUGAGAGGGUGACCGGCCACAAUGGGCCUGAGAUACGGACCAGAAUCCUACGGGCGGCAGCAGUGGGGAAUAUUGCACAAUGGGCGGAAGCCUGAUGCAGCAACGCCGCGUGCGGGAUGACGGCUUUCGGGUUGUAAACCGCUUUCGCCUGUGACGAAGCGUGAGUGACGGUAAUGGGUAAAGAAGCACCGGCUAACUACGUG